rnacentral:lncRNA from 1 species
AAAAAUCUUCGCUCGAUGAUUAUUUAGUUUCUCCUGUUACCUUGUUUCAAAGCUAGCGCCCCUGCUCUUUCUAUGAGUUGGCUACUCCGUUGUACGCUAUCUUUCUCUUCACACCUGGCCACCCCGGUUCCUUUCUGCUUUUUUUCUUGCUACGGGAUUAGCCUGUUUGGCGUGGUUUGUUACCUAAAAACACCAUCCUUUCUUAUUGGCGUUAGGGAAAAGUCGAAUUGAUUUUUUAAUCCCUGGGGAGUUUCACGCUCGAGACCAAUCAUCUAUGUAAAAUAGAUGAGAGCGAGAAAGAAGGCUCGAGAGACCUGUCUGGAAUCAAUCAACAAAAGCUUCACUUCACCUGUCUCAAUGCUACACUUCGGCAGCUACGAACCAAGACGCUUCAGAAGAUUUUCCUUGCAAGCCGAUUCCCCAGCUCCUCAAUAGGUGCUGCAAAUCUUAAUGUAUAGAACCUGCGACUAUAUUGAGGAGUAAGGAAAGGGCUCCCAUGACAAUGAGGUCAUUUUUGCAUGGGCUUGGACUUGCUUUGAUGAUGAGUAGGCUUGUUGUGCUUUGGCCCUUCUGUGGGCUUUUAUCGAGGAAAGCAGGCUUACAUGCUUAUCAAAAAUGUAAUCAUUUUAAGGGUUUGGGAUGUAUUUUACGUGAAACUGAAUCUAUUUCCCACAUUCUCAAGAUCCUGAUCCAGCCUUCUUCGCUAACGCUCAACCUCGCAUCGCAUCCUUACCUUAGGCUAUCGAGCUUCGAAAGGACUAUAUUAAUAUAUAUUUUAUAUAUUAAUAGGUAUUAAUAGGUAAGAUUGCCUUUCACCGAAAGCAUAAGGGAAUGUGACUCUCUUUCCACGGGCAUUUUCUGACUCUUGAAAUAAUGUGAUUCAAAGAAUUGACGGUAACCAAGGUGCCUACUCUUCCUAACGAGCCUGCUUAUUAAGCAUGGUCGGUCAAUCAGGUAAUACCCCAAAGGCUGUCUCCAGAGAUAUAACAUUUCUUGAGAUCCAAAACUACCCCGAGAAAUGCUCUAGAUCAAACGAAAAGGGGACCAGAAAAGGAAUCCCACAUGAGGAUGCAAUGGGCGAUAAAAAUUACUUAAAAAAACUUAUUGCUAAUAAAGAUGCUAAUUGGUAUCCUGGAAGCCAUCUUUACAUAGACCAAGGUACAUGUUCCUCGACGCUUAGGGCAUCCUUCUUUUGCUUUGUUAGAGCGCUUAUUUCCUAGUUUAGUCAGUCAGUAGACCUACGUCCACCGGUGAAGCUCCACUAUGGAGAUCACAAGAUUAGACAACAAACCUUCCACAAGUAAGAAAACCCCUGAUCAGACGUUGGUGGAUUGUGUAAUCAAGCUCCCAUUUCCUCCAAAUCUCCUUCCACUCUGAAAGAUCCCUCUUUUACACCUCCGGAAGACCUACCCGAUCGCAAAUCAAUCAACUUGACUCCACCCUUGCAAACACAGAAGACUAAUGGAGGACCGCCCAUCCCAUCGACUAUAUCUCCCCACUCCCAG